rnacentral:rRNA from 1 species
GGGGAAUAUUGGGCAAUGGGCGCAAGCCUGACCCAGCAACGCCGCGUGAAGGAAGAAGGCUUUCGGGUUGUAAACUUCUUUUAUUCGGGACGAAAAAAAUGACGGUACCGAAUGAAUAAGCCACGGCUAACUACGUGCCAGCAGCCGCGGUAAUACGUAGGUGGCAAGCGUUAUCCGGAUUUACUGGGUGUAAAGGGCGUGUAGGCGGGACUGCAAGUCAGAUGUGAAACCCAUGGGCUCAACCCAUGGCCUGCAUUUGAAACUGUGGUUCUUGAGUGUCGGAGAGGUAAUCGGAAUUCCGUGUGUAGCGGUGAAAUGCGUAGAUAUACGGAGGAACACCAGUGGCGAAGGCGGAUUACUGGACGAUAACUGACGCUGAGGCGCGAAAGCGUGGGGAGCAAACA